AAAGAAAUCAAUGAAGAAAGAGAACACAAGAUUUCACUCUUUUUCCCAUUUAUUUUUUCGAGAUUUUACAAUCCUAAGCUCGAAAACCUCACAAAACCGCCAUUCCAUACUUCUCUUUGGAUCACACUUUUUUCUUUCUCUCUCUCUUCCUUUUUUUUUUUGUCCUGCUUGAAGCUUUUUGUAUCGCAUUCCAAACUUAGCCCACAAAUUUUGACUCUUCUAUCUAACUCUUUGAUUCAGUGGAAUGUAAAUGAAGCUAAGAUGAACAGUUUCCGUUUCUGGGUUUUACUACUUUCUGUAUCUUUUUCUUUCUCUGCCUAG